GAUGAAGAACGUAGCGAAAUGCGAUAAGUAAUGUGAGUUGCAGAAUUCAGUGAAUCAUCGAAUCUUUGAACGCACCUUGCGCCUUUUGGUAUUCCGAAAGGCACACCUGUUUGAGCGUCAUGAAUACCUCAAUCUCCAUCUUUUCUUCGGAUUGAUGGGUGACUUGGAUGUUGAGCCCUGCUGGUAUGCUAUAUCAGCUGGCUUUAAACUUAUUAGCCGGCUCUGUACUGGAUCGGUUUGACUCGACGUGAUAAUAUUAUCGUUGAGGAUGCAUGUCUCAUGCAGCCGGAAAGUAUCAAAGCAGCUUCUAGCUUGCCUUUAGUGCACUUUUACAUUUUAGACCUCAGAUCAGGUGGGACUACCCGCUGAACUUAAGCAUAUCAUAAGCGGAGGA
rnacentral:misc_RNA from 1 species